rnacentral:lncRNA from 1 species
UUCAAGUUUUACCAAUGCUCNUUAUUGGUAACAAUCUCCCCCUUUUUGAUGAUGAUCAAAAAUUCACUUUUAAAAGCAACUCUGGCUUACCUGCAAUACGUAAGAGCUAACAGAAAACAAAGUUAGCAGUACCUGUAUCAAUUAUUAAUUUGUAUUAUACUUCUCCCCUUAUAUUAUUCUUCUCCCCUUAUAUUAUUCUUCUCCCCCUUUUUUAUCAUAAGCAAAAAGAUUAAAUUAAAAAGCUCCACCUAAAUAUGAUCUCCC